rnacentral:pre_miRNA from 1 species
UAACUACUCCCUCCGUCCGGAAAUACUCGUCGGAGGAAUGGAUGUAUCCAGAUGUAUUUUAGUUCUAGAUACAUCCAUUUUUAUGCAUUUCUUCGACAAGUAUUUCCGGACGGAGGGGGUAGCAU